rnacentral:rRNA from 1 species
UACGUAGGGUGCGAGCGUUGUCCGGAAUUAUUGGGCGUAAAGAGCUCGUAGGCGGCCUGUCGCGUCGGAUGUGAAAGCCCGGGGCUUAACCCCGGGUCUGCAUUCGAUACGGGCAGGCUAGAGUGUGGUAGGGGAGAUCGGAAUUCCUGGUGUAGCGGUGGAAUGCGCAGAUAUCAGGAGGAACACCGGUGGCGAAGGCGGGUCUCUGGGCCAUUACUGACGCUGAGGAGCGAAAGCGUGGGGAGCGAACAGG